rnacentral:lncRNA from 1 species
GGUAUGAGUGCAGUAAGCCUACAGGACAACAAGAAGCCUAGUAGGUCCUCUCUCCUCCGAGGGAAAUACCAUCUCCCUAUUCCUAGCUCAGCCCCAGUACGAAUGUCUGUAACCUUCCAGAAGCUUUUUGAGGGGGUGAUGAAGAGCCUCUUGUGAGAAAAGAUUCAUGGUGGUGUCUAAGGAAGUUCCAAAAUCAUAGGGAUACUUCUGAAGAGAGUUGGGGUGUCCAAGAGAAGGAGGGGAGACUCAAUAAUGGUGAAUGCCUUUUACAUCAAUUGGAACACGUUCUGGACUUCAAAUGUCAGGAUGCAUUCUGCUAUGAAAUCUCGACUGUGUUCGUGGACCUCUCCUAGUCCGUUAUAGAAAUGCAUCGGAUUCAUACAGAGCUCACCUAAAUUGUCUACAUCACAGACCUGGCCUUUAGUUCUCUGAUUGGAGCAUGUUAGGACUGGUUCAGUUCUCAGGAAUUUGAAUGGACUUAUUUUUAUAGCAGCCAAAAGUCCAAUAAUCACAGCUUGCUAAUGAGCAGGUUUUUUUUUUAUUUUUAUGGAAACUGAAAUGUUUUAAAAUUAUUGCUGGGACUUUCUAGAACUCUUGCUCAAAGUUUGUGGAAGCCCAAGGUCCUCUGGGAAACUUGGAUGCAUUUAAAGAGAAAUGAAGAGUGGAAAAGAAGAUUUAGUGGCUUUAGAACCAGAAAGACAGAGUCAAGUUCUGCCUCUGACUUACACUGCCAGAGUGAACUCUAGAGUGGCUCAUAGACCCAUCUUUUGGCAAAUGAUCAGCUACCAGGACCAAGAGGUAAUGUAAUUAAGUCUUUAAUGGCAACUCUGGACUAGUCAGAUGUCUUUGAACCUGGCCUCUUUGGACUUAGUUAGCACUGAUUUAACAGUUCCCUCUUUUUCUUUUUUUAAACCUUUACCUUCCAUCUUAGAAUUAAUACUGUAUAUUGGUUCCAAGGCAAAAGAGUGGUAAGGGCUAGGCAGUGGGGGUCACACAGUUGGGAAGUGUCUGAGGUCAGAUUUGAAUACAGAACCUCUCACCUAUAGGCCUGACUCUCAAUCCACUGAGUCAUCUGCUGGUGUCUCUCUGAACACUAGAAUCUUGCCUAGACAAAUCUUGUGGUGAGUUGAUAAAAGACUGACUGAUCUCUCUCUUA